rnacentral:lncRNA from 1 species
UGUAUCAAGGGAGAGUAGUGAUGAAGGUGGACAAACAGCUUAGCAUGAGAUCAUCCAGAACCUUGAAAACCAGACUAAGGAGUCUGGAAUUUGUUCUACGAACUUGGAAGAGUGACAGAAACCCUUUAGGUUAAAGGAAUAGUGACAUUUAAAAUUGAUUUAAAUAUCAUAACAUUCCAGGUGUGAUGUGUUCAGUAUCUGAUCUAAGAGAUGGCGGUAGUUAAGCUUGGAGAGAAGAAUGAGAAAUUUGAAGUAUCUAGAAGACUUGGUGAUUUCCCAGGUUUCAAAUGCCCUGCAAAGUGUUAAGAAAAAUAUGGCUCAUGUCUAAGGAGGAUAAGACACAGAUGGAAAAACCCCAUACAGAAUCCAUCUCUUGGAAUGGACCCCAAGAUCAAGGUACAAAGAUCCGGCAUUAGAGAACUCAUGGAUGCUGGUUGACUUUGAAAAAAACUCACAGGGUCAAACCUGGGUAGCUCUCCACUGCUGCAUCCUGUUCAUCAUGGAGGUUCCUGCCUUUCCUGUAAAGAAUGUCCUUGACAUUGGGCUUUAAAAAGCAUAAGACCUUGUAUUGCAACUAACAUUUUGGAUAACUUCACUGAUUAAUCAUUGGAACUCAGUUCACCUCAGGAGCUUAUGUCAUGAAAUGAUUAUAAACUUCUAAUGCUUUCCAAAAGGACAAAAAUAUGUUUUUAGGACAACAUGAUUAUAAACAUGCCAUUUUAAUAGUCCAUGGCAGAAAAUAAGAUGGUUUGGAUUUUCUGGUAAUUAAAAUGAAAAUAAAAUUUUUUAGAUGGUUUAUGUCAAUGUAAUUUAAAUACCUGUUAAAAUAUGUUAUAGUUUGUUUUAAUACUA